UUGCAAUUCGUUUUUAUUAUUUGCUAUAAUGUAAAGAUAUAUCACUCACUGCAUCUAACUUGAAUUGAUAGUAUUAAUCCUCUUGAUUCGUACAUAUGGUUCGAAUUAUACGGCUCACCAUCUGAUCGAGACGUUAACCUUCUCGGUAGUGUUAUCCAGGCAUGGUAUGUCAUCGGCUGAUUAGGCGCAUUUAACUCAUCUAAUUUGCAGGUUCAUAUUUGUGUUAAAGGAAUGCAGCUGGGGGUUCAUCGUUGGAGUUUGAUCCUCUUUAUGAUGCAGCGAAGGCUCCAAGGUGAUGCCUUCAUCGUUCCAUGACGUAAGUAAUGUUGAAUUCCAGGACAAUUGGUGCAGAGUUUGGGUGGAUCUUGGUGUAUACGGUUAAAAUCGGGCUUGCCCGAUUUUGCUAUUUAAUCGAGAUCGGGAAAUCACAUCGAGGGUCAGCCUCGCAAAGGAUCGGGCUAUAACACGAAGACGAGGUGUCGAGUUCAAGAAUCGAGAUGUUCGUCGAGGCCGAGGCUAGCAAUCGAGACUAGGUAUGACCAACUUCGAGUAAAGUGCAAUAACGGAAAGGCGAGAUAUCCGUAACCGGUAGAAGAUCACGGCAGAAAUCCCGGAAUAGAUCAAAUCAAGGGCGGUUAUUUGUACCAAUCAUGGGAUUUACUUCCAUAAAAGAAUAAUUGUACCAUAAUUAAGAUUCUUCUAGUAUAUAAAGGGGAGUUCCCAUCAUUUGUGAAGGACCUACAUUCACGAAUAUCAAAGCAAUAUA